GAUGAACGCUGGCGGCGUGCCUAACACAUGCAAGUCGAGCGAUCUUCUUCGGAAGAGAGCGGCGGACGGGUGAGUAACGCGUGGGUAACCUGCCCUGUACACACGGAUAACAUACCGAAAGGUAUGCUAAUACGGGAUGAUAUAUGAAAGUCGCAUGGCUUUUAUAUCAAAGCUCCGGCGGUACAGGAUGGACCCGCGUCUGAUUAGCUAGUUGGUAAGGUAACGGCUUACCAAGGCGACGAUCAGUAGCCGACCUGAGAGGGUGAUCGGCCACACUGGAACUGAGACACGGUCCAGACUCCUACGGGAGGCAGCAGUGGGGAAUAUUGCACAAUGGGCGAAAGCCUGAUGCAGCAACGCCGCGUGAGCGAUGAAGGCCUUCGGGUCGUAAAGCUCUGUCCUCAAGGAAGAUAAUGACGGUACUUGAGGAGGAAGCCCCGGCUAACUACGUGCCAGCAGCUGCGGUAAUACGUAGGGGGCUAGCGUUAUCCGGAAUUACUGGGCGUAAAGGGUGCGUAGGCGGUCUUUCAAGCCAGAAGUGAAAGGCUACGGCUCAACCGUAGUAAGCUUCUGGAACUGUAGGACUUGAGUGCAGGAGAGGAGAGUAGAAUUCCUAGUGUAGCGGUGAAAUGCGUAGAUAUUAGGAGGAAUACCAGUAGCGAAGGCGGCUCUCUGGACUGUAACUGACGCUGAGGCACGAAAGCGUGGGGAGCAAACAGG
rnacentral:rRNA from 1 species